CUACGGGCUGCUGCAGUAGGGAAUUUUCCACAAUGGGGGCAACCCUGAUGGAGCAACGCCGCGUGCAGGAUGAAGGCUCUCGGGUCGUAAACUGCUUUUCUCUGUGAUGAUUAUGACAGUAGCAGAGGAAUAAGGAUCGGCUAACUCCGUGCCAGCAGCCGCGGUCAUACGGAGGAUCCAAGCGUUAUCCGGAAUUACUGGGCGUAAAGAGUUGCGUAGGCGGUCUUGUAAGCAGGGCAUGAAAUAGUGUGGCUCAACCAUACUGCUAUGUUCUGAACUGCAAGACUAGAGGAUGAGAGAGGUUAUUGGAAUUCCCAGUGUAGGAGUGAAAUCCGUAGAUAUUGGGAGGAACACCGAUGGCGUAGGCAGAUAACUGGCUCAUUCCUGACGCUCAGGCACGAAAGCGUGGGGAGCAAACGGGAUUAGAUACCCCGGUAGUC
rnacentral:rRNA from 1 species